rnacentral:rRNA from 1 species
ACUACGAAACCGCCCUCGAUACUGCUUGUCUUGAGUUCGAGAGAGGAUGAUGGAAUUCAUGGUGUAGCGGUGAAAUGCGUAGAGAUCAUGAAGAACACCGGUAGCGAAGGCGGUCAUCUGGCUCGAUACUGACGCUCAGGGACGAAAGCGUGGGGAGCAAACAGGAUUAGAUACCCUGGUAGUCCACGCCUUAAACGAUGGAUGUUCGGUGUCAGCCCGCAAGGGUUGGCGCCUGAGCUAACGCGUUAAACAUCCCACCUGGGGAGUACGAUCGCAAGGUUGAAACUCAAAGGAAUUGACGGGGGCCCGCACAAGCAGUGGAGCAUGUGGUUCAAUUCGAUGCAACGCGAAGAACCUUACCUGGGCUUGAACUGCUAUUGACCGGUGCAGAGAUGUGCCUUUUCGCAAGAACAGUAGCAGAGGUGCUG